ACGCGGCAGCAGCAUAAAUACAAAAUCUGGAACAAUAUAGACAAGCUUAGCUUGGCCCCUGCACAAGGAUGACACAUAAAUUCGUGAAAUGGUCCACAGCUCC